UACAGAGGUCUCAAGCGUUGUUCGGAUUCAUUGGGCGUAAAGGGUGCGUAGGCGGCGCGGUAAGUCGGGGGUGAAAUCUCGGAGCUUAACUCCGAAACUGCAUUUGAUACUGCGGUGCUUGAGGACUGGAGAGGAGACUGGAAUUUACGGUGUAGCAGUGAAAUGCGUAGAGAUCGUAAGGAAGACCAGUGGCGAAGGCGGGUCUCUGGACAGUUCCUGACACUGAGGCACGAAGGCCAGGGGAGCAAACGGG
rnacentral:rRNA from 1 species